rnacentral:rRNA from 1 species
CCUACGGUAGGCAGCAGUGAGGAAUAUUGGUCAAUGGACGAGAGUCUGAACCAGCCAAGUAGCGUGAAGGAUGACUGCCCUAUGGGUUGUAAACUUCAUUUAUAAAGGAAUAAAACGAGGCACGUGUGCCUUUUUGCAUGUACUUUAUGAAUAAGGAUCGGCUAACUCCGUGCCAGCAGCCGCGGUAAUACGGAGGAUCCGAGCGUUAUCCGGAUUUAUUGGGUUUAAAGGUAGCGUAGAUGGGUUGUUAAGUCAGUUGUGAAAGUUUGCGGCUCAACCGUAAAAUUGCAAUUGAUACUGGCAGUCUUGAGUACAGUUGAGGUAGGCGGAAUUCGUGGUGUAGCGGUGAAAUGCUUAGAUAUCACGAAGAACCCCGAUUGCGAAGGCAGCUUACUAAACUGUGACUGACAUUGAUGCUCGAAAGUGUGGGUAUCAAACAGGAUUAGAUACCCCUGUAGUC